GAUGAAGAACGCAGCGAAAUGCGAUACGUAAUGUGAAUUGCAGAAUUCAGUGAAUCAUCGAGUCUUUGAACGCACAUUGCGCCCCCUGGUAUUCCGGGGGGCAUGCCUGUCCGAGCGUCAUUGCUGCCCUCAAGCACGGCUUGUGUGUUGGGCCUCCGUCCUCCUCCCGGGGGACGGGCCCGAAAGGCAGCGGCGGCACCGCGUCCGGUCCUCGAGCGUAUGGGGCUUCGUCACCCGCUCUUGUAGGCCCGGCCGGCGCUUGCCGACACAUCAAUCUUUUUUCCAGGUUGACCUCGGAGCAGGUAGGGAUACCCGCUGAACUUACGCAUAUCAAUAAGCGGAGGA
rnacentral:misc_RNA from 1 species